AGUGAACGCUGGCUGUAGGCCUAACACAUGCAAGUCGAACGGCAGCACAGUAAGAGCUUGCUCUUACGGGUGGCGAGUGUCGGACGGGUGAGGAAUACAUCGGAAUCUACUUUUUCGUGGGGUAUAACGUAGGGAAACUUACGCUAAUACCGCAUACGACCUACGGGUGAAAGCAGGGGAUCUUCGUACCUUGCGCGAUUUCAUGAGCCGAUGUCGGAUUAGCUAGUUGGCGGGGUAAAGGCCCACCAAGGCGACGAUCCGUGGCUGGUCUGAGAGGAUGAUCAGCCACACUGGAACUGAGACACGGUCCAGACUCAUACGGGAGGCAGCAGUGGGGAAUAUUGGACAAUGGGCGCAAGCCUGAUCCAGCCAUACCGCGUGGGUGAAGAAGGCCUUCGGGUUGUAAAGCCCUUUUGUUGGGAAAGAAAAGCAGCAGGUUAAUACCCCGCUGUUCUGACGGUACCCAAAGAAUAAGCACCGGCUAAAUUCGUG
rnacentral:rRNA from 1 species